rnacentral:rRNA from 1 species
GUGGGGAAUAUUGGACAAUGGGCGCAAGCCUGAUCCAGCCAUGCCGCGUGAGUGAUGAAGGCCCUAGGGUUGUAAAGCUCUUUCACCGGUGAAGAUAAUGACGGUAACCGGAGAAGAAGCCCCGGCUAACUUCGUGCCAGCAGCCGCGGUAAUACGAAGGGGGCUAGCGUUGUUCGGAAUUACUGGGCGUAAAGCGCACGUAGGCGGGUAUUUAAGUCAGGGGUGAAAUCCCAGAGCUCAACUCUGGAACUGCCUUUGAUACUGGGUACCUAGAGUAUGGAAGAGGUAAGUGGAAUUCCGAGUGUAGAGGUGAAAUUCGUAGAUAUUCGGAGGAACACCAGUGGCGAAGGCGGCUUACUGGUCCAUUACUGACGCUGAGGUGCGAAAGCGUGGGGAGCAAACAGGAUUAGAUACCCCAGUAGUCC